UUGGGCGUAAGAGCUCGUAGGCGGUUUGUCGCGUCUGCCGUGAAAGUCCGAGGCUCAACCUCGGAUCUGCGGUGGGUACGGGCAGACUAGAGUGAUGUAGGGGAGACUGGAAUUCCUGGUGUAGCGGUGAAAUGCGCAGAUAUCAGGAGGAACACCGAUGGCGAAGGCAGGUCUCUGGGCAUUUACUGACGCUGAGGAGCGAAAGCAUGGGGAGCGAACAGGAUUAGAUACCCUGGUAGUCCAUGCCGUAAACGUUGGGCACUAGGUGUGGGGGACAUUCCACGUUUUCCGCGCCGUAGCUAACGCAUUAAGUGCCCCGCCUGGGGAGUACGGCCGCAAGGCUAAAACUCAAAGGAAUUGACGGGGGCCCGCACAAGCGGCGGAGCAUGCGGAUUAAUUCGAUGCAACGCGAAGAACCUUACCAAGGCUUGACAUGUGCCAGACCGCUCCAGAGAUGGGGUUUCCCUUCGGGGCUGGUUCACAGGUGGUGCAUGGUUGUCGUCAGCUCGUGUCGUGAGAUGUUGGGUUAAGUCCCGCAACGAGCGCAACCCUCGUUCCAUGUUGCCAGCACGUAGUGGUGGGGACUCAUGGGAGACUGCCGGGGUCAACUCGGAGGAAGGUGGGGAUGACGUCAAAUCAUCAUGCCCCUUAUGUCUUGGGCUUCACGCAUGCUACAAUGGCCGGUACAAUGGGUUGCGAUACUGUGAGGUGGAGCUAAUCCCUAAAAGCCGGUCUCAGUUCGGAUUGGGGUCUGCAACUCGACCCCAUGAAGUCGGAGUCGCUAGUAAUCGCAGAUCAGCAACGCUGCGGUGAAUACGUUCCCGGGCCUUGUACACACCGCCCGUCAAGUCACGAAAGU
rnacentral:rRNA from 1 species